CCUACGGGAGGCAGCAGUGGGGAAUAUUGCACAAUGGGGGAAACCCUGAUGCAGCAACGCCGCGUGAAUGGGGAAGUAUUUCGAUAUGUAACGCUCUAUCCGCAGGGAUUAGAAACGCAGUUACCUGAAAAAGACGCACCGGCUAACUACGUGCCAGCAGCCGAGGUAAUACGUAGGGGGCAAGCGUUAUCCGGAUUUACUGGGUGUACAGGGAGCGUAGACGGAAAGGCAAGUCAGAAGUGAAAGCCCAAGGCUCAACCCUGGGCCUACUUUUGAAACUGUCAAACUAGAGUACGGGAGAGGUAAGAGGAAUUCCUAGUGUAGCGGUGAAAUGCGUAGAUAUUAGGAGGAACACCAGUGGCGAAGGCGUCUUACUGGACCGAAACUGACGUUGAGGCUCGAAAGCGUGGGGAGCAAACAGGAUUAGAUACCCUAGUAGUC
rnacentral:rRNA from 1 species